rnacentral:tRNA from 1 species
GGAGAGGUGGCCGAGCGGUCGAAGGCGCUGGACUGGAAUUCCAGUAAUAUCUAACAAGGUAUUCGUGGGUUCGAAUCCCACCCUCUCCGCCA